rnacentral:rRNA from 1 species
UUUAUUAAAAACAUGGCCUUUUGAGUAUUAUUUAAGGUCUAGCCUGCCCAAUGAGGAGUUUAAUGGCCGCGGUAUAUUAACCGUGCAAAGGUAGCAUAAUCAUUAGUUUUUUAAUUGAAAGCUGGAAUGAAAGGUUGAAUGAAAAAGUGACUGUCUCUAUUUAAAAUUAAAGAAUUUUAUUUUUAAGUAAAAAAGCUUAAAUAUGUAUAAAAGACGAGAAGACCCUAUAGAGUUUUAUAAUUAUUGUAUUUAUAUUUUUUAGAAUUUUAAAUUAUAAUUAUUAUAUUUAUUUGAUUGGGGUGAUUGAAAAAUUAAUUUAACUUUUUUUGUAUUUUAUCAUUAAUGUGUGAUUAAUUGAUCCUGAUAUUCAGAUUAUAAGAUUAAAUUACCUUAGGGAUAACAGCGUAAUUUUUUUUGAGAGUUCGAAUUGAAAAAAGAGAUUGCGACCUCGAUGUUGGAUUAAAAUUUAUUUUUGGUGUAGAAGCUAAAAAAUUAGGUCUGUUCGACCUUUAAAAUUUUACAUGAUCUGAGUUUAAACCGGUGUAAGCCAGGU